GGUUUUGGUGUGACAGUGAAGUUGUCAUUCUUACGAGGAGAUAGCUUGCUUCUCUCUUCGGCAAGCCCAAAGAGACUUAGCCCUCUCCUGCAGGACCUGCACUGCACCAUCCCAAAAACAAAAGGACAUGCACAUAAUAAAAACACCCGCACGCACGCAACUGAUUCCAUGGAGGUGCUCGUAGCAGACCAAUCUCUUGUUCUCAACAGUGUUGGUUCCAAGUAAAAUUACU
rnacentral:lncRNA from 1 species